rnacentral:rRNA from 1 species
AAGCAGGGGAUCGCAAGACCUUGCGCUUUUGGAGCGGCCGAUGCCUGAUUAGCUAGUUGGUGGGGUAAGGGCUUACCAAGGCGACGAUCAGUAGUUGGUCUGAGAGGACGACCAGCCACACUGGGACUGAGACACGGCCCAGACUCCUACGGGAGGCAGCAGUGGGGAAUUUUGGACAAUGGGCGAAAGCCUGAUCCAGCAAUGCCGCGUGAGUGAAGAAGGCCUUCGGGUUGUAAAGCUCUUUCAGUCGAGAAGAAAAGGUCGCGACUAAUAAUCGCGACUCAUGACGGUAUCGACAGAAGAAGCACCGGCUAACUACGUGCCAGCAGCCGCGGUAAUACGUAGGGUGCGAGCGUUAAUCGGAAUUACUGGGCGUAAAGGGUGCGCAGGCGGCUUUGUAAGUCAGAUGUGAAAUCCCCGGGCUUAACCUGGGAAUUGCGUUUGAAACUACAAAGCUAGAGU